GUAAGAAUUUUCAUGAAAACUUUUAUAUGCACUGAGGACUUUCUUGUGUAACUUAAAGUUAUUCAUGAAAAAUCUUACCCAUUUGUGUACUUUUGGGAAAGUGAAAGAGCUGUGCAAUGCUAUUUGGCACUCUGUUGGCUGGUGUUUUCUAAGCAGCUAAUCCUCUAUUGUAUUUCAUUUUCCUGGGUUCUUAUUGGCUGAACCCCCAAGAGUGGAAAUCAAUAAGAUGUUGGAUUUUAGCUUCUGCAGUUGCGCUAACACGGCUUUCACUGUGUGUAUUUAUGCAUGUUGAGGUACAUUUGGUGUUUGAACUAUUAAGAAAGACACCCACAUUUUAUGUAAUUCAUGUUGGACUAUAAUCCAAGGAGAAGGACUGAACCAUAGAAACUGGAAAACCAUAAUUAACGCCUUGCUUAAGGUUAAUAACAAUCAAAAGAUGUAUUGGACAUAUUGAAACAAAACAACAUACAAAAGAGCAAUGCUGAAACUAUUCUACCAAUAAUAUCACCUAAUGAGUAACUUGACCUGAUGACUAAUGUUUUUAUUCAUAAUUAAUAAUUGUAGCUUUGCAUGAAAAAUUUUGUUUUGCUUUUAUGUUC